rnacentral:tRNA from 1 species
GUGAGUAUAGUCGAGUGGUUACGAUAGUGGUUUGUGGUGCCAUUGACGCGGGUUCGAAUCCCGUUACUCACC